UGCGGGGGUGCCCGAAAGGGAAUUGGAACACAGGUGCUGCAUGGCUGUCGUCAGCUCGUGUCGUGAGAUGUUGGGUUAAGUCCCGCAACGAGCGCAACCCUUAUCAUUAGUUGCUACGUAAGGGCACUCUAAUGAGACUGCCGGUGACAAACCGGAGGAAGGUGGGGAUGACGUCAAGUCCUCAUGGCCCUUAUGGGUAGGGCUUCACACGUCAUACAAUGGUCGGUACAGAGGGUUGCCAAGCCGCGAGGUGGAGCCAAUCCCAGAAAGCCGAUCGUAGUCCGGAUUGUUCUCUGCAACUCGAGAGCAUGAAGUCGGAAUCGCUAGUAAUCGCGGAUCAGCAUGUCGCGGUGAAUACGUUCCCGGGUCUU
rnacentral:rRNA from 1 species